rnacentral:rRNA from 1 species
AUUGAACGCUGGCGGCAGGCCUAACACAUGCAAGUCGAGCGACCGGCGGACGAGUAAGUCAUGUCUGUGAGCCUGCCUGAUGGGGAGGGAUACCUAAUAGGAGCGGUAGCACCUACUACGUCCAGUCGGGUGUGCCCCGAUGGGAUUAGCUAGUAGGGGGGGUAAAGGCUCACCUAGGCGACGAUCCCUAGCUGGUCUGAGAGGAUGACCAGUCACACUGGAACUGAGACACGGUCCAGACUCCUACGGGAGGCAGCAGUGGGGAAUAUUGCACAAUGGGCGCAAGCCUGAUGCAGCCAUGCCGCGUGUGUGAAGAAGGCCUUCGGGUUGUAAAGCACUUUCAGCUGGGAGGCGUUACCAGCAGAAUAAGCACCGGCUAACUCCGUGCCAGCAGCCGCGGUAAUAC